CAUAGAUAUCUAUACAAAAGCUAGAUGCUUUAUGGCGGAGCUUCGAACGACCUCACGCGACGGCCAUCUUACCACAGGGUUGCUCUCUCGUGGGAUCUAUUAAAUCUAAGGGAACAAGGCACAGGAGGGCUCAUCAGAGCAGCAGAGCGGCUCAUUUGACAAGAAUCAGCAAGUUCCAGCCAAUCACAGCCCUUCAGACUGCUGGAGGUCCUGUACGUGGUACAGAAGAGGAUCGGUUCGGAGGAUGUGUUUUUGCUCAAGGAGCACAUCGGCUGCACACAGUACAGCAUAGACAGUUACCACCAUAUGCUGCUGACAUUAUUUGUGUGUUUUUUAAACUAAGGCUGCACCACAUUGUCAAGAUGACUCCACUUAACUUCCAGAAAAACUACAUGCACCAGAAGCUCAACAAAACAGUCCUGUUUGAAGGGUUUUAGCCAAGACAUGUUUUUUAGGUUGUUUGUAUGUCUCCACAAUAGCGUAGUUCUCUGUACAGGGUGGGGAUUUCAACAAGCUGCAUUCCUGGAUGCAUAUGUGUAAAUCAUGUUCCUAUUUUGUUACCCAAAUAAAUGUCACUUUUAUGUCCAAGAUUUUAUAGACAUUGAAGAGAAUGCAAAUAAAGUAUUAUAAUGUGUUAUAAUACAAAA